UGCUGGCGCCGCCGACGGUGCGCGUGCCGUAGGCGUCUUCGACGGCGCGGGUCUCGUCGACGAUGCCGCGCAGCUU
rnacentral:tRNA from 1 species